UACGAAGGGGGCUAGCGUUGCUCGGAAUUACUGGGCGUAAAGCGCACGUAGGCGGCUCUUUAAGUCGGGGGUGAAAUCCUGGAGCUCAACUCCAGAACUGCCUUCGAUACUGAGAGUCUCGAGUCCGGGAGAGGUGAGUGGAACUGCGAGUGUAGAGGUGAAAUUCGUAGAUAUUCGCAAGAACACCAGUGGCGAAGGCGGCUCACUGGCCCGGUACUGACGCUGAGGUGCGAAAGCGUGGGGAGCAAACAGG
rnacentral:rRNA from 1 species